rnacentral:rRNA from 1 species
UGGGGAAUAUUGCACAAUGGGCGAAAGCCUGAUGCAGCGACGCCGCGUGAGGGAUGACGGCCUUCGGGUUGUAAACCUCUUUCAGUAGGGAAGAAGCGAAAGUGACGGUACCUGCAGAAGAAGCGCCGGCUAACUACGUGCCAGCAGCCGCGGUAAUACGUAGGGCGCAAGCGUUAUCCGGAUUUAUUGGGCGUAAAGAGCUCGUAGGCGGUUUGUCGCGUCUGCCGUGAAAGUCCGAGGCUCAACCUCGGAUCUGCGGUGGGUACGGGCAGACUAGAGUGAUGUAGGGGAGACUGGAAUUCCUGGUGUAGCGGUGAAAUGCGCAGAUAUCAGGAGGAACACCGAUGGCGAAGGCAGGUCUCUGGGCAUUUACUGACGCUGAGGAGCGAAAGCAUGGGGAGCGAACAGGAUUAGAUACCCUGGUAGUCCAUGCCGUAAACGUUGGGCACUAGGUGUGGGGAACAUUCCACGUUUUCCGCGCCGUAGCUAACGCAUUAAGUGCCCCGCCUGGGGAGUACGGCCGCAAGGCUA